GGAAUGUGGCUCGAGUGGUAGCGCCCUCGCCUGGCAUGCGUGAGGCACUGGGUUCAAUCCUCAGCACCA
rnacentral:tRNA from 1 species